GACGAACGCUGGCGGCGUGCUUAACACAUGCAAGUCGAACGAUGAAGCCCAGCUUGCUGGGUGGAUUAGUGGCGAACGCGUGAGUAACACGUGAGUAACCCGUCCCUAACUCUGGGAUAAGACUGGGAAACUGGGUCUAAUACAGGAUAGGAGCGCCCCUCCUACGGUGGGGGGUGGGAAAAUUUUGCGGUUGUGGAUGGACUCGCGGCGUAUCAGCUUGUUGGUGGGGUAUUGGCUCACCAAGGCGAUGUCGGGUAGCCGGCCUGAGAGGGUGACCGGCCACACUGGGACUGAGACACGGCCCAGACUACUACGGGAGGCAGCAGUGGGGAAUAUUGCACAAUGGGCGAAAGCCUGAUGCAGCGACGCCGCGUGCGGGAUGACGGCCUUCGGGUUGUAAACCUCUUUCAGUAGGGAAGAAGCGAGAGUGACGGUACCUGGAAAAGAAGCACCGGCUAACUACGUG
rnacentral:rRNA from 1 species